UGGGGAAUAUUGCACAAUGGGGGAAACCCUGAUGCAGCGACGCCGCGUGAACGAAGAAGGUAUUCGUAUCGUAAAGUUCUGUCCUAUGGGAAGAUAAUGACAGUACCAUAGAAGAAAGCUCCGGCUAAAUACGUGCCAGCAGCCGCGGUAAUACGUAUGGAGCGAGCGUUGUCCGGAAUUAUUGGGCGUAAAGGGUACGCAGGCGGUUUAAUAAGUCGAAUGUUAAAGAUCGAGGCUCAACCCCGCAAAGCAUUGGAAACUGAUAAACUUGAGUAGUGGAGAGGAAAGUGGAAUUCCUAGUGUAGUGGUGAAAUACGUAGAUAUUAGGAGGAAUGCCAGUAGCGAAGGCGACUUUCUGGACACAAACUGACGCUGAGGUACGAAAGCGUGGGGAGCAAACAGG
rnacentral:rRNA from 1 species